rnacentral:rRNA from 1 species
GACGAACCGUGCGAACGUUGUUCGGAAUUACUGGGCGUAAAGCGCGUGUAGGCGGUUGUUCAAGUCAGGUGUGAAAGCCUUGAGCUCAACUCAAGAAAUGCACUUGAUACUGGAUGACUAGAGGACCGGAGAGGAUAGUGGAAUUCCCAGUGUAGUGGUGAAAUACGUAGAGAUUGGGAAGAACACCAGUGGCGAAGGCGGCUAUCUGGACGGUUUCUGACGCUAAGACGCGAAAGCGUGGGGAGCAAACAGG